GCGGAUUUAAUUUAAAUAUUAGAACAACAAACGAAUUAAAUCUACGGAUUUAAUUUAGAUUCAUUUUAUAAUUUAUCGAUUUAAGCGAGAAAUCACAUGUCGAAAUACGAGAAUUAUUUAAAUAAACAGUAUCAAGCAGAUACGAGCACGCGAUCCAUCUUACAGUUACAGAAUCACCGAGACAGAGAAAAUACAUCAAUAAUUCUCCUCUACAUUUUUUUUUUCUUUCUUUUUCUUCUCUUUUUCUUUCCAUUAAUUUUGUUCCCCACUUCAUUUUACCACUAAAUCUACUUUUUGACUUUCACCACCAUUUUCCCCACCACUUUCACCACCAUUUUCUCCACUACUCAAUUAUGCAACAACACAUAUUGUUCCAGCCAUCAAGUCUUUUCUUCCCUCACCAAAACGUGUAGAAGAAGUUGAGAAAGGGAGAGAGAGUUUCCUCCAACUCCAAAUUGUAACUUGAAGAGGUCAAGGGCGAGAUUGAUAAUCUGUUGAGGAGCUUUUGUAUCACAGAAAAUUACUAUCAGGUUGAGCAGCUGCCGAUGGUGAUGAAGUGGCGAGCGAGACUCUUUUGUCUUAUUAUGUAUUAAUGAACUCUAGGGUUACAUGUCUUCAUACAUGUAAUCAGAACCGUAUUCCGCUGCGUACUCAGAAGUUUUAUGUUAUUUUGGAUAAGUCGGAGUUAUCCGAAUUUACUAGUUAUUUGAGUCUAUACGACUAAAACUCCGUUAUAUUAUAA